UUUGUGAUGGACGCCUCUGACCCCACCCAGCUCUCUGCAUCCUGUGUGCAGCUCUUAGGUCUCCUUUCUGCAGAACAACUUGCAGAAGCAUCGGUGCUGAUACUCUUCAAUAAAAUCGACCUACCCUGUUACAUGUCCACGGAGGAGAUGAAGUCAUUAAUCAGGCUUCCAGACAUCAUUGCUUGUGCCAAGCAGAACAUCACCACGGCAGAAAUCAGCGCCCGUGAAGGCACUGGCUUGGCAGGGGUGCUGGCCUGGCUCCAGGCCACCCACAGAGCCAACGGUUGACUGCACGGCAGAGGCAUGGCUGCCCUGAGCUGGGGAGAGGUGGCAGAGGGCAGUAUGGCUUCGCUGCCAAUAGUUUCUUCUCACAGGGGCAGAAUAACCCAAAGUAAUCCUACAUGAUGGUGCUCUGUGCUGAGAUGCAAUGAUGCAUAAACUGAGGCAUGCGGAGAUGGGAGUUGACAUCUGGC
rnacentral:sRNA from 1 species